CCUACGGGAGGCAGCAGUGGGGAAUUUUUCGCAAUGGGGGCAACCCUGACGAAGCAAUGCCGCGUGGAUGAAGAAGGCCUUCGGGUUGUAAAGUCCUUUCGUGGGGGACGAAAAGGCGGGUCCUAAUACGAUCUGCUGUUGACGUGAACCCAAGAAGAAGCACCGGCUAACUCCGUGCCAGCAGCCGCGGUAAUACGGGGGGUGCAAGCGUUAAUCGGAAUCACUGGGCGUAAAGGGUGCGUAGGCGGUACGUUAGGUCUGUCGUGAAAUCCCCGGGCUCAACCUGGGAAUGGCGGUAGAAACCGGCGCACUAGAGUAUGGGAGAGGGUGGUGGAAUUCCAGGUGUAGCGGUGAAAUGCGUAGAGAUCUGGAGGAACAUCAGUGGCGAAGGCGGCCACCUGGCCCAAUACUGACGCUGAGGCACGAAAGCGUGGGGAGCAAACAGGAUUAGAUACCCUGGUAGUCCACGCCCUAAACGAUGAAUACUAGAUGUUUGGUACCUAGCGUACUGAGUGUCGUAGCUAACGCGAUAAGUAUUCCGCCUG
rnacentral:rRNA from 1 species